rnacentral:lncRNA from 1 species
ACAUUGCUUAAGCAUUACUUCCAUCAAAGGUGUAAAUAUCAAUUAAUUCUUGUGAAAGGAUGCUUUAAUUACCCCCUACUAAUGAGUAAUGAUCCCCGCAUGAAAUGACAAAGUGAAACUAAUUUUUUUUUUUUUUAACAUAUAACCACUCCCAACUGGCUUGUUUUAUUGGAGAAGGGGAUGUGGAAUAAACAACAUGAGACAGCUGAGACCUGAGUCUGGGAGGAACCCCCUUCCCUCCCCAUACAUGCCCACUGCCCCAAAUAAAAAAUAAUCAACUAUGCGAGAGCAGCCGAGACAGCGACUAGGGGCAGGGGAAGGAGACACGGAACUCGAGGGCAGUGGUGAAGAGACCAUGCGUGUGCUGGGAAGGCCUAGAGGAAGCGGUGGCACGAACAGUGCCAAGUACAAGUCUCUGUGUCUUGCCGGGGUUAUGUAUAAAUACAGAGAUGAGGCCUUCUUUCCCCCUGCUCUCCCUUCUGCUCCAUGCUGCUGGCUGCGGUCCCAGCUCCUCUUUCCACAUGAGGGCGAAGAGAGGGGGGAUGAACAAGUCAUCACCGAAUUGCAAUCAGACCGACAUCCAUCAGCUUCUGGAUCUUCUGUGCUAUUACAGGAUUCUCUAAGUGUUCGCUGAGUGCCUGGGGGUCCUUCUGCAUCUGUUCCAGGAUAAGGCGCAUGGCUGGGUCACUCAUAAUGUGCUGCACCUCGGGGUCGGCCAUGGCUGGUCGUUUCACAUCUUCCGGACUGUCAAGCCGGUUGCAUUACGCCAUCAUACAGCGCUGGUAGCCGGCUGCCGCCUCCUUACAGCUGGAGUCCCGGUCGAGCGCCUUCUGGUACACACCCAUGGCUUUGGUGCAGUCCUUCAUCGCUCCCAGGGCAGAGGCUUUCCGGGUAUAACCCUUGAUAAAGGUCGGCUCCAGCUGGAUACAUUCCUCACAGUCCUUGAGUGCCAGCUGGAACUCCAGAAGUUUGGUGCAGAAGGCAGCUCGAUCACUGUACAAUUUGGCAUCUUUUGGAUUCCUUUUGACGUCCUCUGUAUAAUGCUUCACGGCCUGGGGAUACUCCCCUUUCUGAAAACACUCGUUGCCUUUGUUCUUCUCCUCCAAAGCCAGGUCGGGGUUUAUGUAGGCCAGCUGCUCUUGCUCCUUCAGUGUUUUCUCUGCCUGCUUCUUAUUCUCUGGAAGAUCUUCUUCCAUUGGCUCUGGCUUGGUCUCCUUUUUGGGAGGGGUGGUGGUGGUGUUGCAACCUCUUCCUCCUCAUCCAUACUGCCCAGAUCGACCCCAAGGAGGACACUGAGAGUGGUCAUGAUCCGGGGAUCCUGUAGUUUCGUGCCCAGAUCGGAAGGCUUGUUUCGCAGCUGCUCUACCAGCUCCUCGUAGGUGGGAUCACUAAGAAGUGUCCUUGUCCUGGGAUCACUCUCCAACUUCUGACACAGAUUGGGCAUGUUGAAAGCGUUCGUGAAUAAUCUCUGUGCCAACCUGGCCUCCAUAUUCUGUAAACCCUCUUUCAGCUGAGGGUUAUUUACCUCGUGUUUUAGCCCUCUUCGUAGGUUCGCUUGACUUCUUCAAACUGGUUUAAGAACUCAAGAACUGCUGCUUUUCGUGACUAGCCCUUGCCCCAGUCAGGCUUUAGGUCGACGGUCUUGCAGCCGUCCUCAUAAGCCUUUCAGUAGUCUCCUUUCUUGGCACAGGCGGCAGAACGGUUGCUGUAGAGAAAGUGGUUGUGGGGAUCCAGCUUAAUGGCUUCGGAGUAGCUCUGUAAGGCAUCAUCAACAAGGCCCCUGCACUCAGGGCCUUGCUGCCCUUCUCUUUCAGCUCAUUGACCUGCUCCAUAGCGCAGUGCAGCCCGGAACCCCGUUCGACAAAGUGAAACUAAUUUUUAUCCUUCCUUUCCUUUUUUUGUACCCCUUCUGUAACUGUUUUAUUUUUAUACUUUAU